rfam:Xenopus tropicalis strain Nigerian Chr08_contig_539, whole genome shotgun sequence.
GUAAAGGCUGUUUUAACAGCCACUAGUACUAAUAACCCUGGUUUU